CGAGUCAACGGGUGAGUAAACCCG
rnacentral:siRNA from 1 species